GACAGCAAGGUCUCCCUCAUCCAAGCAUCUCCUUUGACCUCCUGUCUUUGAUGUUUCUCCCUGUGUAAGACUGCAAUCAGGAAGCACCAGGAUGAAGCUGCGGGAUGGCGAUCCACUUCAUGCGGUCAGCAAAAGUCACUUCUCUUCCAAUAAGGCUCAUAGUCUUCCACGGCCCCAUCGGUGAUCAGCAUGAUGGCCUGGUUGCAGAGACUUCCUUGUCUGGACUCUUGGAACUGAGGGAGCAGGGGUGAAGC